CAGUAGCCGCGGUAAUACGUAGGUGGCAAGCGUUGUCCGGAAUUAUUGGGCGUAAAGGGCUCGCAGGCGGUUUCUUAAGUCUGAUGUGAAAGCCCCCGGCUCAACCGGGGAGGGUCAUUGGAAACUGGGAGACUUGAGUGCAGAAGAGGAGAGUGGAAUUCCACGUGUAGCGGUGAAAUGCGUAGAGAUGUGGAGGAACACCAGUGGCGAAGGCGACUCUCUGGUCUGUAACUGACGCUGAGGAGCGAAAGCGUGGGGAGCGAACAGGAUUAGAUACCCGUGUAGUCCCUGUCUCUUAUAA
rnacentral:rRNA from 1 species